CCAACAAAGAGGAAAGUUCACCUCGGGGCCCCUGUGCUCUGGAGUCCCCUUACCUUCCUCGUUUAAAAUCCAGGGCUGGAACGCGAACGCCGUGUCAAAGCCACAGGUGUUUUCUUCAAACGCGCAGGACCCGGCGGGCAGGUCCAGGGCGCCCGCAAGCUGCAGGGCUGCGAGCACAAAACGAAUUUCAGCUCGGGAUAGGGCUGGGAGCGUCUGCACCAACUCGGGGCGCCCCGGGGGGACCAGAUGAUGCUAAAUAUCUGAUGUAUUUCAUCAAAUUACUUCAUUAAAAAUUCAAAGACAGAUAGGAAUCCACUUGAAACCUCAAAACACUAUUUUCAACCAAGCAAGCUUCCAGCAACUAUUAAACUGGUGCUCCUUCUGCCAGGCGAUGCAGUCCACACAAGGAGAGGUGAUCCCCAACGGGGGGGGUGGUUCUCUACACUGAGGCCGACCCAAAGGGCUUGAUGGCUGAAGGCUGUUUGAAGACAACAAUCCCACCACCUGAGAUGCCAAGUCCUUCCUGGAUGGAGGAUCUGGACAAGCACACUGGUGUCCACCACAGACAUUUUGCAGAGAAGGGAAAGAAUCCUGCACAUGGAGAGAGCCAAGGAGGGAAUGCAGAAAAUCUAGAAAUUAUGUCCAUCAACCCACUUCCUCGGGUCACUAAUCAUGGAGCCCUGUGGCCAUGCACUGCCUUCAACCCCUGGGAAAGCAGCAUCAGGCCCCCAGGGGAGCACUACCCAGGACUCUCUCCUCCAAGAUUUAGUUUAAUCGAGUGAUUAAAUAACACAUGUAAAGUUCUGGUUUAUAGAAAGCACUCAAUAAACAUCAGGUAUUACAGCGGGUUGAAUGGUAGCCCUCUCCAAAAGAUAUGCUGUGAAUGUGACC